GGCUGGUCAAAGUGCAGUGGUGUUUACAAGUAAUUGACCACAAUCAGCUACAGAUUUCUUUGUUCCUUCCCACUCCCACUGCUUCACUUGACUUGCCCUAA
ensembl:misc_RNA Y_RNA Y RNA